rnacentral:pre_miRNA from 1 species
GCAACAGAUGUCCAUACACAAUUCUUGGGGCUGAAUGGGAUUUUUACUCAAGAAUUGCGUUUGGACAAUCAGUCGC